rnacentral:rRNA from 1 species
CUUUGGGAUAACCCUCGGAAACGGGGGCUAAUACCGAAUAUUCACUCACGGGCGCAUGUUUGUGGGUGGAAAGUUUUUCGGCUUGGGAUGGGCUCGCGGCCUAUCAGCUUGUUGGUAGGGUAAUGGCCUACCAAGACGACGACGGGUAGCCGGCCUGAGAGGGCGACCGGCCACACUGGGACUGAGACACGGCCCAGACUCCUACGGGAGGCAGCAGUGGGGAAUAUUGCACAAUGGGCGGAAGCCUGAUGCAGCGACGCCGCGUGAGGGAUGACGGCCUUCGGGUUGUAAACCUCUUUCAGCAGGGACGAAGCGCAAGUGACGGUACCUGCAGAAGAAGCGCCGGCCAACUACGUGCCAGCAGCCGCGGUAAGACGUAGGGCGCGAGCGUUGUCCGGAUUUAUUGGGCGUAAAGAGCUCGUAGGCGGCUUGUCGCGUCGGCUGUGAAAGCCCAUGGCUCAACUGUGGGCUUGCAGCCGAUACGGGCAGGCUAGAGUUCGGUAGGGGAGACUGGAAUUCCUGGUGUAGCGGUGAAAUGCGCAGAUAUCAGGAGGAACACCGGUGGCGAAGGCGGGUCUCUGGGCCGAUACUGACGCUGAGGAGCGAAAGCGUGGGGAGCGAACAGGAUUAGAUACCCUGGUAGUCCACGCUGUAAACGUUGGGCGC